rnacentral:rRNA from 1 species
GACGAACGCUGGCGGCGUGCCUAACACAUGCAAGUCGAACGGAAAGGCCCUGCUCUUGUGGGAUGCUCGAGUGGCGAACGGGGGAGUAACACGUGAGUAACCUGCCCUUGACUUUGGGAUAACUUCAGGAAACAGGAGUUAAUAUCGGACAGGAGCUCCUUCUGCAUGGUGGGGGUGGGAAAAUUUCGGCGGUUGGGGAUGGAAUCGCGGCUUAUCAGCUUGUUGGUGGGGUAGUGGCUUACCAAGGCUUUGACGGGUAGCCGGCCUGAGAGGGUGACCGGGCACAAUGGGACUGGGAUGCGGCCCAGAGUGCUACGGGAGGCAGGAGUGGGGAAUAGUGCACAAUGGGCGGAAGCCUGAUGCAGCAACGCCGCGUGCGGGAUGACGGCUUUCGGGGUGUAAACCGCUUUCGCCUGUGACGCAGAGUGAGUGACGGUAAUGGGUAAAGAAGCACCGGCUAACUACGUG